UAGCGGGGACAGGAUUCGAACCUGCGACCUCUGGGUUAUGAGCCCAGCGAGCUACCGAGCUGCUCCACCCCGCG
rnacentral:tRNA from 1 species